rnacentral:rRNA from 1 species
GGGAUAACACUUGGAAACAGGUGCUAAUACCGUAUAACACUAUUUUCCGCAUGGAAGAAAGUUGAAAGGCGCUUUUGCGCCACUGAUGGAUGGACCCGCGGUGCAUUAGCUAGUUGGUGAGGUAACGGCUCACCAAGGCCACGAUGCAUAGCCGACCUGAGAGGGUGAUCGGCCACACUGGGACUGAGACACGGCCCAGACUCCUACGGGAGGCAGCAGUAGGGAAUCUUCGGCAAUGGACGAAAGUCUGACCGAGCAACGCCGCGUGAGUGAAGAAGGUUUUCGGAUCGUAAAACUCUGUUGUUAGAGAAGAACAAGGAUGAGAGUAAAACGUUCAUCCCUUGACGGUAUCUAACCAGAAAGCCACGGCUAACUACGUGCCAGCAGCCGCGGUAAUACGUAGGUGGCAAGCGUUGUCCGGAUUUAUUGGGCGUAAAGCGAGCGCAGGCGGUUUCUUAAGUCUGAUGUGAAAGCCCCCGGCUCAACCGGGGAGGGUCAUUGGAAACUGGGAGACUUGAGUGCAGAAGAGGAGAGUGGAAUUCCAUGUGUAGCGGUGAAAUGCGUAGAUAUAUGGAGGAACACCAGUGGCGAAGGCGGCUCUCUGGUCUGUAACUGACGCUGAGGCCCGAAAGCGUGGGGAGCGAACAGGAUUAGAUACCCU